rnacentral:rRNA from 1 species
UACAGAGGUCUCAAGCGUUGUUCGGAUUCAUUGGGCGUAAAGGGUGCGUAGGUGGCGGGGUAAGUCAGGUGUGAAAUCUCGAGGCUCAACCUCGAAACUGCACUUGAUACUGCCUUGCUCGAGUACUGGAGAGGAGAUUGGAAUUUACGGUGUAGCAGUGAAAUGCGUAGAUAUCGUAAGGAAGACCAGUGGCGAAGGCGAAUCUCUGGACAGUUACUGACACUGAGAGACGAAAGCUAGGGGAGCGAAUGGG